UGUACCAUACUGCAGCUGUCACUCAUCGUCGGAAGCUGUAUCAUCCACUUUCUGCAUGCCGUCGGUCGUUCUUGAUGAAUGCCAGUCACGCGUACAAAACGUCACGUGUCCGUCCACUGUGUCGUUCUGUUACUGCUGCUGCAACCAGUGAUGGAAGAUCGUAAUAAACGAGAACAGUUUCCAGAACAAUAAUGAUGUCCUUAUAUAUUACAUAGUGCAUGCAGAUUUAAGCGUGCCGGUUUCAAGUAUUGUGAUCAUUGCUUGAACUAAAAUAAAUAUAGGCAAAACAUCUUCCGUAACAUCGCGGACUUCGUAGUAAAUUUUUUAUUUAAUCAUUGUUAUGUACUCAAUUUUACAAAUUAUUAAGUGUAAAAUUUUACAUAAUAUUAAUAUUUUUUCACAUACUGUUUAUAACACUAUAUAAUUAACUAGAGAUAAUUUAGUAUCAUUUAAAAAUAAAUCAUUUAUCUUAAGUUAAGUACAAGUAUAAUCAUAGAUAAUUAAUUGACAAUAAAAAAUUAACAUACACAUUAUUUAGUUUAACUUAGUAUAACGUCCCUAAUAAAAAACAUUAUGAUAUACAAUGGUAUAUAGUAAUAUUAAGAUAAAAUAUUAAAACGCAAAA